GGAUGCGAUCAUACCAGCAAUAAAGCACCGGAUGCCAUCAGAACUCCGAAGUUAAGCGUGCUUGGGCGAGAGUAGUACUAGGAUGGGUGACCUCCUGGGAAGUCCUCGUGUUGCAUUCC
rnacentral:rRNA from 1 species